UCAAACUUGGUCAUUUAGAGGAAGUAAAAGUCGUAACAAGGUUUCCGUAGGUGAACCUGCGGAAGGAUCAUUAUUGAAUAACUUGGAUGCUGAUGCUGGCGUGAAAGCGCAUGUGCUCGCGUUCAUCUUAUUUCAAAUCCCUUUGUGCACCUUUCUAGUCUCGGAUUCGAAAAGGAACCUCUCACUCUUGAUCACCUACAUCUCUGGGUAAACCGGAGCGUUGGAUGUGCUUGAGCGCUUUCAUUAGCGUUCUCACUAGUCCUAUGUUCUUGACGUGGGUUUGAAGUAUUUGAGCCGGUGUAAAAAGCGGCACUACUCUUCUAUGUCAGCAGUAUGGUUCGGACUAGCUUUUAUAUCUCUAUUGUAUGUUAAAGAAUGUCAUCUUUUGUUGACGAAAGUCAAUGAAAAAAAACCUAUACAACUUUCAGCAACGGAUCUCUUGGCUCUCCCAUCGAUGAAGAACGCAGC
rnacentral:misc_RNA from 1 species